rnacentral:pre_miRNA from 1 species
CACGUCAUCACAGACAUCAUAAUGAAUGAUUUUCAUGUUUAUAUUUAAAUUAGUUGUUAUAUGUUUGUCAUUUGAAUUUGACACUUAAUUUGUUCAAAUUUAUACUUACAUACAACAAAUUUAAACAGAGACAUGAAAAUCAUUCAUUAUGAUAUCCGUGAUGACGUG